rnacentral:rRNA from 1 species
AACGGUGAAGCCAAGCUUGCUUGGUGGAUCAGUGGCGAACGGGUGAGUAACACGUGAGCAACCUGCCCUGAACUCUGGGAUAAGCGCUGGAAACGGCGUCUAAUACUGGAUAUGAGCUGCGGAGGCAUCUUCGUGGUUGGAAAGAUUUUUCGGUUUGGGAUGGGCUCGCGGCCUAUCAGCUUGUUGGUGAGGUAAUGGCUCACCAAGGCGUCGACGGGUAGCCGGCCUGAGAGGGUGACCGGCCACACUGGGACUGAGACACGGCCCAGACUCCUACGGGAGGCAGCAGUGGGGAAUAUUGCACAAUGGGCGGAAGCCUGAUGCAGCAACGCCGCGUGAGGGAUGACGGCCUUCGGGUUGUAAACCUCUUUUAGCAGGGAAGAAGCGAAAGUGACGGUACCUGCAGAAAAAGCGCCGGCUAACUACGUGCCAGCAGCCGCGGUAAUACGUAGGGCGCAAGCGUUAUCCGGAAUUAUUGGGCGUAAAGAGCUCGUAGGCGGUUUGUCGCGUCUGCUGUGAAAACCCGAGGCUCAACCUCGGGCCUGCAGUGGGUACGGGCAGACUAGAGUGCGGUAGGGGAGAUUGGAAUUCCUGGUGUAGCGGUGGAAUGCGCAGAUAUCAGGAGGAACACCGAUGGCGAAGGCAGAUCUCUGGGCCGUAACUGACGCUGAGGAGCGAAAGGGUGGGGAGCAAACAGGCUUA